rnacentral:rRNA from 1 species
UACCAGCACCCCGAGUGGUCGGGACGAUUAUUGGGCCUAAAGCAUCCGUAGCCGGUUCUACAAGUCUUCCGUUAAAUCCACCUGCUUAACAGAUGGGCUGCGGAGGAUACUAUAGAGCUAGGAGGCGGGAGAGGCAAGCGGUACUUAGUGGGUAGGGGUAAAAUCCGUUGAUCCAUUGAAGACCACCAGUGGCGAAGGCGGCUUGCCAGAACGCACUCGACGGUGAGGGAUGAAAGCUGGGGGAGCAAGCCGG